AUACUUACCUGGAAGGGAUGAUUCUAUGAUCAUGAAGGUGGUUUCCCCAGGGCUAAGCUUAUCCAUUGCACUCUGGAUGAGCUGACCCCUGCAAUUUCCUCAAAUGUGGGAAAUUCAACUGCACAAUUUGUGGUAGUGAGGAACUGCGUUCAUGCUCUUCCCAA